GACGAACGCUGGCGGCGUGCUUAACACAUGCAAGUCGAACGGAAAGGCCCUGCUUUUGUGGGGUGCUCGAGUGGCGAACGGGUGAGUAACACGUGAGUAACCUGCCCUUGACUUUGGGAUAACUUCAGGAAACUGGGGCUAAUACCGGAUAGGAGCUCCUGCUGCAUGGUGGGGGUUGGAAAGUUUCGGCGGUUGGGGAUGGACUCGCGGCUUAUCAGCUUGUUGGUGGGGUAGUGGCUUACCAAGGCUUUGACGGGUAGCCGGCCUGAGAGGGUGACCGGCCCACUUGGGGAAUGAGAUCGGGCCCGGCCCCCGCGGGGGGGCGGCAGGGGGGAUUAUUGAACACGGGGCGGAAGCUGAAUCCCGCACCGCCCGGGGCGGGAGCGCGGCUUUCGGUUGUUAAACCGUUUCCGCCUGUGACGAACCGUGGGGAAGGGUAAGGGGUAAAAAAACCCCGACAAACUACGGC
rnacentral:rRNA from 1 species